GGUGGGGAGGGGGUGUAGCCCUUCCUGGAACUGUUGAUUCACCUUCCUGAGAUCUCUGGAUCUGCUCCUUCGGGGGUGAGACCGCCAUGGGGCCGGCUGGAGACUUUUCUUCUGGUCCUUUUUAGCCUUGGUCCAAGAAACCAAGGCUUUGGGCUUGUCUGGUUGGAUUCCUUCCUUCCUCCCCCCUCCCCCAACUCAUACCUCCUCCCUUUUCUCUCAGCAUCCUCCACUAAUAGACCCUGGAAAUGAGACCUGGUGGGGCCCAUAUUUGGGGAGGUUGUCAAAUGUGCUGGUUGCCACUAAAAACUUGUAAAUGAAGGUUCAGGAUGCUGGGGGCCUGGGCUGGCUGAAGGGUAUGUUGUUUAGAAAACCCACACCCCCUACACACACACACACACACACACACACACACACACACACACACACACACACCCCAGCUGGGAGCUGGGAGGGAGAAAUGUCUCCACUAGAGUCAGAGGGGAGCCUGCACUGGGGCUUGGGCCAACUUUCCCCUCUCCUGGGCCUCUCUGCUCUGGGGGAGUUACAUGUUCUCUUCCACUCAGACGCAGCUUGGGAAAGAGCAGGGGCCCUUUUAGGGAGAGAGAGGGAAGCAGGCCUAAGACACUGUGAAAGCCCAAUUCUUAGCUUCAGCUCCAGGCCUGAUCCACAAUCCAUUUUCCACUCUGUUAUGAGCAUCUGGUGCUUCCUCAAAGGUUAUUUAGGGGAAAUGCAGUCUCAGAGCUUUGCUUCUUGGGGGGCUUUGGGGACCAGUUAGUACAGCACCCCCUUUUCACUGGAAGGCUAAUUUAAAGCAGUUGGAUUUGGCAGGGUCUGGGCCACUUUUUUUUUUUUUUUUUUAAUUUUUGCUGAGGCUCAGGUUCCUGACAGAGACAGUGUCCAUGGUGAGCCGAUCGGACUCGGUGGCCAUUGCGUUCCUCAUUUCGUUUGACAAAAGCCUCAGAGAUUCUUUUUAAAGCCACACAUUUUGCUGAGUGUGACUCCUGAGCCCAAGAAGAGCUUUCACAGAUCCUCCUGUACCCAUGGUAUGAGCCAAAUGUCGGCUCUAGCUGCAAUCCCAACGGUUCAGUCAGUCUCCUAGGUUGCAAUGGGGUGGAUCCUGACUCAGCUGAGCUGCAUCACCAGACAGAAGGCCCUGAGGCUCAACAAACAGCAUGGAGGACCUGGAACCACCUGGUUCCACUCUGUGGAUGUGUUUAGGGACCCCAAUUUUCUGUUUGAAUAAAUUUCUUUAAAAAAAAUAAAGUUUUUAGGUGAAAAAAA